UAACAAGGUCUCCGUUGGUGAACCAGCGGAGGGAUCAUUACUGAGUUUACGCUCUAUAACCCUUUGUGAACAUACCUAUAACUGUUGCUUCGGCGGGUAGGGUCUCCGCGACCCUCCCGGCCUCCCGCCUCCGGGCGGGUCGGCGCCCGCCGGAGGAUAACCAAACUCUGAUUUAACGACGUUUCUUCUGAGUGGUACAAGCAAAAUCAAAACUUUUAACAACGGAUCUCUUGGUUCUGGCAUCGAUGAAGAACGCAGCGAAAUGCGAUAAGUAAUGUGAAUUGCAGAAUUCAGUGAAUCAUCGAAUCUUUGAACGCACAUUGCGCCCGCCAGCAUUCUGGCGGGCAUGCCUGUUCGAGCGUCAUUUCAACCCUCAAGCUCUGCUUGGUGUUGGGGCCCUACAGCUGAUGUAGGCCCUCAAAGGUAGUGGCGGACCCUCCCGGAGCCUCCUUUGCGUAGUAACUUUACGUCUCGCACUGGGAUCCGGAGGGACUCUUGCCGUAAAACCCCCCAAUUUUCCAAAGGUUGACCUCGGAUCAGGUAGGAAUACCCGC
rnacentral:rRNA from 1 species